AUUGGUUACAAUGUUUAACAAUAGGAAAUAUUCAAGAAUAAAUAAAAUAAAAGUUUAAUCCUAACAACACAAAACAUUCCAGGAAUGUAGGUACUACCGUUCUAUUCCGUGAACAUCUAUCUGAUUAAAUUAUGGGUGGAAAGUUACCACAAGAUAUUCUAUGAACAUAGUACAAUGUCUUCCUGGAGGGGUAAAAUUUUCCAUUACAAGAUUUUAAGAGAGGCCAUUUAUUGUACUGUUCAAUUUGCGUUCAUUUUCAAAUUUGCCGCGCGAGUAUCUAUGUAGCGUCUCGUGGUCAUUGGUCAUCACAUUUCAUUUUCAUAACAUAACCGAUAACCUAAAAAUUUAGUAAAAAAGUAAAAAUUUUGAUUGGAAAAAAAUGCAUCGAUAAGGGGGUGUGGGAAAUGGAAAUUAGUGGCUUUUUUGCUGUACUGUCUGCUAAUAGUUUUUGCUCUGGGCACUGGCUAGAUCUCUUGUUUAAACAAUUUUAAUCAGCUGAAAGUGGCCUACAAAAAAAAACCAAGAAGGAAAUGUAUAGCCUUGUGGCUAUGAAAGGCAAAAGAGAGAUAUAAAAAGUGUAUUGGCUAGUUGGAAGAAAGUCCACAUUGUCCAUGCAUAAUAAGUUAUUACAUUAUCAACAAAUAUCAAGAAGAUAGCAGGGUCACGAGCAUCAACUUCAUGAGUUCAAGAAUAUCGAGGAAAUCCAGCUCCUCGAUACUACUGGGCAAACUAGAAGAUUGAAGAAGACAAAUCCUUUUGAACUAGUUUGAGUGAUAGGUGAUAGUGAAAAACGGAGCAUAGUGCUUGUGUGCUGUGCCUGUGUAUGUUAGAAUAGUGCACGAUCUUGUUAGAUUAGAUAAGAGACGCUAUGGGGUAAGCUCUUCAUUUUAAGAAACAGUAGUAAUUUAGGCUAAAUUAAAAUUGCUCAUUGGUCAGUUAUGACCAGAUUGUUUUUUUAUGUUUGGCAAAAAGGACUUAAGUCAGAAUUGCACAUUGAUAAUGUUUUGAUGAUUUCUGGACCAGAAAAAAACUGUUGUAGAUGUAAACUGUAUGUACAGUAGAAUCUACUACAGUACUGUAGAAAUCAUCAAAACAUUAUCGAUGUGCAAUUCUGACUUAAGCCCUUUUUCCCAAACAUCAGAGAAUUGUAAUGUACAAUAAUUCUCCUAUCUGCUUUUUCAUGAAUUUUGUAGGAGACGAAAAACCAUUUUUAGGAUCAUCUGCUGUCACAUGUUUUGUAGUAAAUAGAUAGUUGAAUUUACUACAAAACAUGUCAAAAAAUAUAUGAAAACAGGAGGUGACUAUAAAAAAAGUUUUUAGUCUCUCUUACAAAACUCAUGAAAAAACAAAUCGGAGGUAUGUCACAUCAGUGACUAAGAAUGUCUAAAAAAUAUACUUUGAUGUCCCAAGAACCAAAUAUAACCUACAGUCCAUCUAAUUUACUUACUGUUGCAGGUCAUUAUCUACGCCAGAGAUCUAAGUUGACAUAGUUGCCAAAGUAUAAAAAGAUCCUGAAUCCAUUUUAAAUCAAAAAUGUCACAUAAUUAUUGUAAACGUGGAUUAUACAACAAAACAAAUUAAUAUUCAAUGUAAAUAAGUAAAAACUUAAGAAAUAGAGAACAAGAAUUAAGUUAUAAUCUUUUAAGAUUUGCAGUGCAAGAGUUUUUGCACUGCAUUGUUAAUAAUUAAAAAACGGCUCCGAACUCUUGGCAAAAAGCCGGUAGGUUUCUUUGUAUAAGUAUGUCUACAAUAACAACUAAAAAAAUUGUGUCAGAUACCUCGAUUAUUCCAAGUCGUUAUAAAAUUAGGUGAAAUUUAUAUUUUUAUAGUAGAGGAUCUUUUUAUAGUAAAGUAAAUAAUAAAAACAGUAAAUAUAAUAAAUAAAACAGAUACUUAUAGUAAAGAAUAUAAACAAAUAUGAAGUGUCAUCACCGUAACUGUCAAAUAAAUGUUACCAAUUUAUUCUAAAAUGUCACCUUCGUUCGAUUACAGUUACAGUGUGAUCCGAACAAAUCUGCUUCAUAAAAACGCUUUAUAAUCCAUUUAUACAAAUUAAAUGAAACAUAUUAUUGUGUAUUUCUUUAGGUUAACAUUAAUAGAAAUCUUCAAAUAUUAUUUCUACGCGUAUAUAAUAAAAUAUGUCUAGUGGCUGUAAUUCCAGUGUACUCGGCAAAGUGAUUCUAAAAAAGAACACACCUACCGCCUAAAUAUUUCGUGUUGGUAUCAUGCAACCUCACAGGCUACGACGCGGAUGACGCGCAACAGUUAGUAAAUUAGACGAAGUAUGUAGAUAUAUACAGGCUGUAACAAAAAUACAGGUCAUAAAUUUAAUCACAUAUUCUGGGACCAAAAAUAGUUUGAUUGGACCUAACUUACCUUAGUACAAAUGUGCACACAAGAAAAGUUACAGCCCUUUGAAGUUAUAUAUAUAUAUAAUAGCACCAAGGGUCUUAGAGGCCCAUGGCUUGAAAAGUUUGUUUUUUUUCUUCAUUUUCACGUUUUUUUAUGUACUGAGAUCUUCUCUGGCUUGAUAUGUGAUUUUUCUCCAUUCCUUCCUGUUAUUCAUUUUUCUUUUCUGACCCUGUAGCACCAUUCUUUCCAAAUCUUUUUCGACCUCUUGCUUCCAUCUAUUUUUCGGCCUUCCUCUUCUCUUUCUUGAAGCUGUAGUGUAGUUUAGUACCAUUUUUGGAGUCCUCGUGUUUGGCAUCCUUUCAAUGUGACCUCGCCAUCUAAGUCUCUGUGCCUUUAUCAUUCAUUUGAAGUUACAAGAUGAAGUGAUUUUUUCCAAUAUAUCGAAAACUAUUAGAGAUUUUUUAUUGAAAAUGGACAUGUGGCAUUAUUAUGGCAGCAGUAUCUUACGAAAAAACUAUAGUAAAAUUUGGACACCCCAUAAAAAUUUUAUGGGGGUUUUGUUCCUUUAAACCCCCCCAAACUUUUGUGCACGUUUCAAUUUAAUUAUUAUUGUAGUACCAUUUAAACACAACGUUUUAAAAACUUUUUUGCCUCUUAUUGCUUUUUCGAAAAGUCAAUUUUUAUCGAAAUAUUUUGAAUAUUUGUCAAAUCCACCACAUAUUUGUAUAUGGUUAAGUACGAUUAUGGAGACUUGGUAAUAAUAUGCAGACUUAUUUAUGCUUUACAUUUUUAGGGAUAUUUUGAACCAUAUUAAAAAAGAAGCCAGAUCUCGAUAAAAUGUGCCUUAUCGAAAAAAUACAAAGAGGCAAAAAAGUUUUAAAAACAUUCUGUUUAACUAAUGGUACCUCAGUAAUAGUUUAAUUGGAACGUACACAAACAUUUGGGGGGUUUAAAGGAACAAAACCCCCAUAAAAUUUUUAUGUAAACAUGUUAAAAAAGAAGUCGCAACUCGAUAAAAACUGCCUUAUCUGAAAAAUACUAAGAAACAAAAAUAUUGAAUUUAACUAAUGGUACCACAAUAAUAAAAUUGAAUUGGAACAUACACAAAAGUUUGGGAGGAUCUAAGGGAUCAAAACCCCCAUAAAAUUUUUAUGGGGUGCACAAAUUUCACCAUAAUUUUUCUUUAAGAUAUUCCUGCCAUAAUACUGCCACAUGUCCAUUUUCAAUAAAAAAUCGCUAAUAGUUUUCGAUAUAAUCGAAAAAAUCGAUUUUCAUUUUGUAAUUUCAAAGGGCUGUAACUUUUUUUAUGUGCAUAUUUGUACUAAGGUAAGUUAGGUUCAUUCAAACUAUUUUUGGUCCCAGAAUAUGUGAUUUAAUUUAUGACGUGUAUUUUUGUUACACCCUGUAUAUACAGCCGAUUACGCACCACCUUAAAAAUUGGGCAUUUUUGAUGUCUCGAAUUUCCUAAACCUGUUGUUGUAUCUAAGUGAUUUUUUUAUAAUAUUCUAGCCUAGGCCCUAGGCUAUAGGUUAAGUACCUCCUUAUGCUUGUCAUGCACGGGGAGCUAUACUCUAAUAUAUAUUAUAUCACAUCGCACUCUAUAGUAAUGAGUGAGCCUGCACAUAUGGAACCAUUUGUUUUCUGUCUGCAGGCUCACUCAUUACUAUAGAGAGCGAUAUGAUAUAAUGUACAUAUAUUACAGCAUAGCUCCCUGUGCAUGACAAGCUUAAGGAGGUAACCUAUAGCCUAGGCCAGCAGUUCUCAACCACCGUGUCGCGACACACUGGUGUGCCGGAAGAACCUAUCAGGUGUGUUGCGAGAUUUACGAAUACGAUAUUUUUAUUUAUAUUUUUUUACUUGUUAUAAUAUACCAAUCAUGCAUUCAACCAUUUUUUUAACUAUUAGGUAUAUACCACGUUAUACCAAUCAAUAAAGUGCCAAUCCGUAAUUGUUUCCUCUCUACAGUUGGAAAAAUGAAAGAAUACCCAUGAACGAUCACAUCAAUCACUUAUUUUGUAUUUGCUGUCUUUUUCUAUAAAUAACAAACGUUUGUUGUAGAAAAAGAUAGCAAAUACAAAAUAAGUGAUUGAUGUGAUCGUUCAUGGGUAUUCUUUCAUUUUUCCGACUGUAACUGUUUUUAAUAUACAGUACGUAAAUCGUUCUGCUGAACAUAGGGAUUAUACAUUGAGAUCAUUGUGGCAACUGCGCCAACCUGUGUUAGGUGAAACUUCUGUUCGAGUACGAGUUUCUGGUGCAAUAGAGCUGUUAGAACGAAUAGAAUGAGUGAUUUUGAAUGCAAGGUAGUCUAUAAAUAAAUCAAAAACAAAGAUUUUGACUGAUGAAUUAAUAAUUUUACUUUAAUUUUUAAAAUAUCUUUAAAAAUUAAUUUCCAAAUUAAACAGACUCAGUUUUCCCAUUAGGUCAAAAAUAGUUCUACUACAAUGUCAUGUUUUGACGUUUAUUUGUGUCACCCAAAAUUAAUUGUCAAUUUUGAGGUUAAUGCCCUAAUGCUAACAACUAUAUACUAUAUUGUCAUUGAGAGAGCGAAGUUGCCACAAUUAUCUUAAUAUAAUACAAUGUAUGUAUUUAUGUAUCUAAAUAUAUACAAUGUAUGUUCCCUAUGUCCAGCUGAACGAUUUACGCACUGUAUAUCUUUUUAAUAUAUUCAUCUGUUCUUACCUACCACUAGCAAAAAUUUGUACAUAUAAGGGUGUCGCAAAUCUGUAAGGAGUACGUUAGUGCGUCGUUGAGUAAAAAAGGUUGAGAACCGCUGGCCUAGGCUAUAAUAUUAUAAAAAAAUCACUUAGAUGAAACAACAGGUUUAGGAAAUACGAGACAUAAAAAAUACCCCAUAUUUAAGGUGGUGCGUUAAUUUCUUGGAGAAGUGUAUUGUAAUUUAAUGUAAAUAAUGUAAUAUCCAAUAAUUGUAAUUUAAUAUAAGAUGUAAUAUAAGUUCCUUAAAAAAUAUAUUUUUUAUUUCCCACGACAUUAGAUGGAUGUUCGGCAGCAAGACAUUGGACCAAACUGGGACGUCCUAUGAAGGCCCAAUUGACGUCCACCGAACGUCCCUUCGGAUGUUAAGUGGACCUCCAUUGGGCGUUUGGUAACGUGGCAUUUGGACCAAAAUUGGACGUCCUGUUAAGGUCCAAUUCACGUCCCCUAGAACGUCCGGUUAAGGUCCAAUUUACUUCCGAUUAAGGUCCAAUUUACGUCCGAUUAAGGUCCCAUUUACGUCCGAUUAAGGUCCAAUUUACGUCCUAUUAAAGUCCAAUUUACGUCCGGUUAAGGUCCAAUUUACGCCCGAUUAAGGUCCCAUUUACGUCUUAUUAAGGUCCAAUUUACGUCCUAUUAAGGUCCAAUUUACGUCCGAUUAAGGUCCAAUUUACGUCCGAUUAAGGUCCAAUUUAUGUCCGAUUAAGGUCCAAUUUACGUCCGAUUAAGGUCCAAUUUAUGUCCGAUUAAGGUCCAAUUUACGUCCGAUUAAGGUCCAAUUUACGUCCCCUAGGACGUCCGAUCAAGGUCCAAAUUAUGUCCGAUUAAGGUCCAAUAUACGUCCCCUCGGACCUUAGAUGGACGUCCAAUGGACGUUCGGUAGCGCGACAUUUGGACCAAAAUAGGACGUAUAAAGGACGUUCCUCGGACGAAAACGGACGUCCAAUGGACGUCCCUAAAGUCCGUGAAGGACGUCCAAUGGACGUCCAUUGGACGUCCUUGUG